UUGCCUCAGUAACUGCGAGUGAAGCGGCAAAAGCUCAAAUUUGAAAUCUGGCACCUUUGGGUGUCCGAGUUGUAAUUUGGAGAGGCAACUUCGAAGGAGGCGCUGGCCUAAGUUCCUUGGAACAGGACGUCACAGAGGGUGAGAAUCCCGUGCUUGGCUGGCUGUCCUUCUUCAUGUGAAGUGUCUUCGACGAGUCGAGUUGUUUGGGAAUGCAGCUCAAAAUGGGUGGUAAACUCCAUCUAAGGCUAAAUAUUGGCGAGAGACCGAUAGCGCACAAGUAGAGUGAUCGAAAGAUGAAAAGCACUUUGAAAAGAGAGUUAAAAAGUACGUGAAAUUGUUGAAAGGGAAGCGCUUGAGACCAGACUCGGUGAUUGGUGAUCAGCGGUUGCUUUUGCUCCGUGCACUUGCCUUUUACUGGGCCAGCAUCAGUUGGGACGGCGGGAUAAAGAUCUGGGGAAUGUGGCUCUCUUCGGGGAGUGUUAUAGCCCCAGGUGUAAUGCCGCCUGUUGCGACUGAGGACCGCGCUUCGGCUAGGAUGCUGGCAUAAUGGUCUUCAGCGACCCGUCUUGAAACACGGACCAAGGAGUCUAACAUCUAUGCGAGUGUUCGGGUGUAAAACCGCUACGCGGAAUGAAAGUGAACGGAGGUGGGAACUCCUUGGAGUGCACCAUCGACCGAUCCUGAUGUCUUCGGAUGGAUUUGAGUAGGAGCAUAGCUGUUGGGACCCGAAAGAUGGUGAACUAUGCCUGAAUAGGGUGAAGCCAGAGGAAACUCUGGUGGAGGCUCGCAGCGGUUCUGACGUGCAAAUCGAUCGUCAAAUUUGGGUAUAGGG
rnacentral:rRNA from 1 species